rnacentral:tRNA from 1 species
UGGGUUGUGGCUCAGUGGUAGAGCACUUGCCUGCCACAUAUGAGGCACUGGGUUCUAUUCUCAGCACCACAU